rnacentral:rRNA from 1 species
CCUGCUUGCAGGGUACUCGAGUGGCGAACGGGUGAGUAACACGUGGGUGAUCUGCCCUGCACUUCGGGAUAAGCUUGGGAAACUGGGUCUAAUACCGGAUAGGAACCAUCUUUAGUGUGGUGGUUGGAAAGUUUUUUCGGUGUAGGAUGAGCUCGCGGCCUAUCAGCUUGUUGGUGGGGUAAUGGCCUACCAAGGCGGCGACGGGUAGCCGGCCUGAGAGGGUGUACGGCCACAUUGGGACUGAGAUACGGCCCAGACUCCUACGGGAGGCAGCAGUGGGGAAUAUUGCACAAUGGGCGCAAGCCUGAUGCAGCGACGCCGCGUGGGGGAUGAAGGCCUUCGGGUUGUAAACUCCUUUCGCUAGGGACGAAGCUUUUUGGUGACGGUACCUAGAUAAGAAGCACCGGCUAACU